rnacentral:lncRNA from 1 species
GUCUGAGAAGACCCAUCUGCUGAGAAGACCCUCUGAUCUUUGCCUAGUUGCCAGAAUUUCCAGCUUCUACCAUACUACAGAAACUGCAGCCACAGCAUCCCACCAGUACACAAGCAGUACCUGUGCAGAAGCUGUUCACCGCCCACAGAGGGGAAGGUGAAGCUAGCAGCAACCUGCAUGUAUGUCAAGAGCAGAAGAACAGACCAAAGUGAGCACUCUGUACUGCCACUCCAGCCAGGGAAAAAGAAGAAAGAAAAUAGAGAAACUACACAUGAAUCCCACACAGGAAAAGACCCUCCUGAUCUGCAGUGUUCUACUGAGUCAUUCUGUUCAGAAUAUAUUUGCAGUUUCUCUGGUAAGAUGCUAUUUUCCUUCUCAACACAAAAAUGGCUGCAGGCUUUUAUUCUUGUACUCACCACACUCGUACUUAACCUCUUUGACCAAGAUUUCCUACCUUUCAUUUUUCCUAGAGCAGGCUAGGAUGCCUUACCUCCUCUAUCACUUAAUAGAACUACUGCACAAACACACUUGGUCCAGGGCUUCCAAGGAAAAAGGUGCACAUCUGUGUUGCUGUACCUCCCUUCAGCAAGUCUGACAGUUGCUGCUUAAGCUUCCAGUAUUGAAUGUGGUAAUCCCCUUGUCUUUAAGUUUGCUUCUAAAAUAUGAUUUAGUGAACCUUUUUCUUCUCGUCUGCCAGUAACGGUUGUCAAAGUUCUUCAUGACCUUCUCCAAAUUAAUUCUUGCUAGCAUUCUUGUAAGUCACAUCUCACUCAGCAUGAGAUUGACACUAUUAGGUCAUAUGCUGCAAUCUUCUGCAGUCUUCCUUAUUUUUAUUUUAGUCUUGCAUGAAGCACGUAGGGACAUGUGUUGGCAGAAAAGCUGGGGUACUGUGCAUUAAGGAGUGUGCACAGGAUUUGUCUCAUAGAUCUGAAAACAGAAGGGGUCUGGCGAAGUGAGUAUUGCCAGUCAUAAACCUAAAAAAUAACACUAGGACAGAAAACAUAGUGAUAUUUUUAAAAGAUGUAGGGCCAAUGAAAGGGGUGGGUGGCUUUCUUCUAUCUUGUGGCUUCAUCUUUCUUUCAGGUUGAUUUGGGUCAUAUUUUAAAAUUCUUUCAGCAAUCAUAAUGGCCAAAACCGUACUCUUUUGUAACAUCUUCUCUCUCAUUCUCUCUUUUAAUUUGGAUUUUUAUUCUUGAAACUCUUGCACAAUCAUUGCUUGCCAGCAUCCAAGUGCUGGCAACAACACAAAACAAGAGAAAUUUCCUGGGUUUUAUAGUAACUGGCAAAGCUAUUCUCCAGGGAGAGGCAUUAGCCCUGUGCAUAAAGCUUGGAUUUCAUAUAAAACAACCCAGUUAAAUAUGCUGUCAUUUUCAUGUAUGUCUUUAUUAGCAUAGCACAAUGUUUCUUUUGAUGCUUUAAAUAUUUUCAGACAUCCUCCCAUUUAAACUUAUAAUUCUCUGUUAUUUAUGUUAAACGUUACACCAAUUUUCUUGAGGCUGAGUCAUAUUUGCCUGCAGUUGUAGCUCUGUAUUUCAUCAUCACCAGUUAGGGUUGUCUACAGCAGCACAUUACUUAAAUCUAGAUGAAAGAUAUAA